CGGACGGGUGAGUAAUGUCUGGGAAACUGCCUGAUGGAGGGGGAUAACUACUGGAAACGGUAGCUAAUACCGCAUAACGUCGCAAGACCAAAGAGGGGGACCUUCGGGCCUCUUGCCAUCGGAUGUGCCCAGAUGGGAUUAGCUAGUAGGUGGGGUAACGGCUCACCUAGGCGACGAUCCCUAGCUGGUCUGAGAGGAUGACCAGCCACACUGGAGCUGAGACACGGUCCAG
rnacentral:rRNA from 1 species